AGUGAACGCUGGCGGUAGGCCUAACACAUGCAAGUCGAACGGCAGCACAGUAAGAGCUUGCUCUUACGGGUGGCGAGUGGCGGACGGGUGAGGAAUACAUCGGAAUCUACUUUUUCGUGGGGGAUAACGUAGGGAAACUUACGCUAAUACCGCAUACGACCUACGGGUGAAAGCAGGGGAUCUUCGGACCUUGCGCGAUUGAAUGAGCCGAUGUCGGAUUAGCUAGUUGGCGGGGUAAAGGCCCACCAAGGCGACGAUCCGUAGCUGGUCUGAGAGGAUGAUCAGCCACAAUGGAACUGAGAAACGGACCAGACUACUACGGGAGGCAGAAGUGGGGAAUAUUGGAAAAAGGGAGCAAGCCUGAUCCAGCCAUACCGCGUGGGUGAAGAAGGCCUUCGGGUUGUAAAGACCUUUUGUUGGGAAAGAAAAGCAGCAGGUUAAUACCCCGCUGUUCUGACGGUACCAAAAGAAUAAGAACCGGCUAAAUUCGUG
rnacentral:rRNA from 1 species